UGGGGAAUAUUGCACAAUGGAGGGAACUCUGAUGCAGCGACGCCGCGUGAACGAAGAAGGCUUUCGAGUCGUAAAGUUCUUUUAUAUGGGAAGAUAAUGUCGGUACCAUAAGAAAAAGCCCCGGCUAACUACGUGCCAGCAGCCGCGGUAAUACGUAGGGGGCUAGCGUUGUCCGGAAUCACUGGGCGUAAAGGGUUCGCAGGCGGAAAUGCAAGUCAGGUGUAAAAGGCAGUAGCUUAACUACUGUAAGCAUUUGAAACUGCAUAUCUUGAGAAGAGUAGAGGUAAGUGGAAUUUUUAGUGUAGCGGUGAAAUGCGUAGAUAUUAAAAAGAAUACCGGUGGCGAAGGCGGCUUACUGGGCUCAUUCUGACGCUGAGGAACGAAAGCGUGGGUAGCAAACAGG
rnacentral:rRNA from 1 species